UUAAAUUAAAAAAAAAAGAAAUACAUUAUUAAUUUCCAAAAAAGUAACCAAUUAAAAUCAACAAAUUAGAUUUGAUAUCUAAAUUAUCAUAUUAAUUUUUUAUUAAUUAUUAUAGUUCACCUCUCAUCUUUAUAUGAGUAACCCAUUCGAGUUCGGGUAGAACCCGUUCGGGUUUGGGAUUAAUGGGUAUAUGAUUUACUACCCAAUAGAAUAAUCCUACUAUAUUAUUUGGGAAGUACAUUUUAAAUGUAACCUUAUCUUUUGUAAGUAAUUACAUAGGUAUGCCAUUAGAAAUAAAAUUUUAAAUAGUAAA
rnacentral:sRNA from 1 species